AACAAGGCGUACCUGCGGACCUGCGGAAGGAUCAUUACCGAGUGAGGGCCCUCCGGGUCCAACCUCCCACCCGUGUUUAACGAACCUUGUUGCUUCGGCGGGCCCGCCUCACGGCCGCCGGGGGGCACCCCGCCCCCGGGCCCGCGCCCGCCGAAGACACCUGUGAACGCUGUCUGAAGUUGCAGUCUGAGACACUAGCUCAAUCAGUUAAAACUUUCAACAAUGGAUCUCAGAUCGGAA
rnacentral:misc_RNA from 1 species